rfam:Asian citrus Psyllid, Diaphorina citri - Florida Strain, whole genome shotgun sequence.
UCCAGUAGUAAACGCACAUCUAAUGCACCAGACCCCAAUUGAACACUAAAGUUAAGCAACGUUGCUUGCCGCUGGUAUUCGGAUGGGUGACCAUCAGGACAGUUGUCCGGCCUUGGGCU